rnacentral:rRNA from 1 species
UACGAAGGGGGCUAGCGUUGCUCGGAAUCACUGGGCGUAAAGCGCACGUAGGCGGAUUGCUAAGUCAGGGGUGAAAUCCUGGAGCUCAACUCCAGAACUGCCCUUGAUACUGGCGGUCUCGAGUCCGGGAGAGGUGAGUGGAACUGCGAGUGUAGAGGUGAAAUUCGUAGAUGUUCGCAAGAACCCCAGUGGCGAAGGCGGCUCACUGGCCCGGUACUGACGCUGAGGUGCGAAAGCGUGGGGAGCAAACAGG